rnacentral:ncRNA from 2 species
CCGUUCUCAACGGGGUGCCCUGGAUACCAGGCGCUGAGAUAAUACCCGUCGAACCUGAUCCGGAUAACGCCGGCGAAGGGAUUUGAGGCCGUUCUCAAA